rnacentral:rRNA from 1 species
CCUACGGGUGGCAGCAGUGGGGAAUAUUGGGCAAUGGAGGAAACUCUGACCCAGCAACGCCGCGUGAAUGAUGAAGGUCCUCGGAUUGUAAAGUUCUUUUCUUAGGGAAGAAGAAAGUGACGGUACCUUAGGAAUAAGCCUCGGCUAACUACGUGCCAGCAGCCGCGGUAAUACGUAGGAGGCGAGCGUUAUCCGGAAUGACGGGGCGUAAAGGGUGCGUAGGUGGUGUGGCAAGUUAGUAGCGUAACUCCGAGGCUUAACCUUGGAACUACUACUAAAACUGUUGGACUUGAGUGCAGGAGGGGCAACCGGAAUUCCUAGUGUAGCGGUGGAAUGCGUAGAUAUUACGAGGAACACCAGUGGCGAAGGCAGGUUGCUGGACUGUAACUGACACUGAGGCACGAAAGCGUGGGGAGCAAACAGGAUUAGAUACCCGUGUAGUC